CCACGAUUCGUCGUCGUUCUUCACUAAUCCAUUACGUGGCUACGUAGUAAAAAAGAACAAUAACUCAACUUAAGUAAACUAUAGGAAAGUGUCCGAAAGCCGUUCAUUCGUUUCACUAUGUGGAUCAUACUUAUAUCGACUUUAUAGCAGUAAUUCAAACAUAAUUUACUAAAUGGUGGUGUCUUUUCUAAAUAUAUCUACCAAUUAAAAAUAGUUAUAUAAAUAAAAGAAUAAAUAGAGAAAUUUUAAAUAAAGGAAGAAAUUGAUAAACCUGUAAAAGUCUGUAUCACGUCAGCUAACAAUAAUAAGAAAAUAUUACGAAAGUGAAUAGAAAAUACGACAUGGCAGAUUUCUCAUAAGGUAACAAAACAAAGGAGAGAAAAGUAAUAUAAAAUGAAAUACGAAGUGUGAAAUAAAACUUAAUUGUAAACUGAUUUAUCGCUAAGUUAGUUAGUUCACUUCCCUUUGACGUAAAUUCCAAGUGAAAGUUGUUAGAACGGCUGAACUAAAGAUUGUAUGCAAAGCAUUUUCGUAGACAAUUGCUCUUCUCCGUGAGACUUCUCUGUUAUUUAUGUUUUGAUCAAGCAUCGAUUAAUGUACCCACGACGUAACAUGGUUUACACACGUUCAUGUGUUUCCUAAUUACGCUGCUGGUCAAACUCUGUAAUUCUACAACUGCAUCCUUUGAUGAAAGAAUGUGAUGACGAUAAUAACACCAAUUAUACUACAUUGAAACAACCAGGAAGGGAGUAUAUGAAAAAUUAAGUCGAAGAUAGAACAAAAUCUUUUUAAUGAUGAAAAUAAGCAUUUAGUUCUUAACUCUUCUAUAAAAUUUAGCUUCUAUAAGAUUACUGGUGAAGAAUCUAUAACGAUCGAAACAAUUUCGCUAAUUAGAAAAUUCGUUAUAUCAUUAGACACAACUAUGGCUCCUGCACACUCACACAACAUGCAUUUUUAUAGCCUUUAAAUAAUGCACUCGCUCUCUAACGCUGGUACUCGAUUCCUCUUAACAGGUUUGACUAGGCAUCGUGCUGAGCGAGCAGUUGCGCGAUUUCGAGGUCGAUCGAAUACUCCGUAUUAUACAGCUUGCUUUCACUUUCACGAUCGCUUACACCGUAGAUGGUUUUACAUGACAACACGGAAUAUGCAACGAUAUUAUGCCCUUUUAACACAAACGUUGAAGAUAAUUUUCUAAUGCCAUUUUCUUCAUCUGUUGUCACUUUCUAUACUACUUUUGUCAUUUCAACAACAGUUUUCAGUUCACAAAAUGUAGCAUGUACUCUACAGGUGAUUUUCAGUAAAAAAGAAAAUCACGUAUACUAUACACUUUUCUUAUAUAGCAAAAGCUUAUCCAUGUAGGAUGUAAGAUCCAUGUAGCUCGAUUAAUCAAGUAGAUUUUACACGGCUGACAACUUUCAUUAUUUCUCUAUUUAUACAAAUUCGCAAAUUUCAUUGGAACCGAAAAUUUUGAUUGGUUCUCUGUACAAGUCAAUGGAUAAAAUAUAAAGUAAAUUACUAAAGUUAAAAAAUGAAGGUCCUAAUCAACAACUAUCGAAUAUUAUCGCUGUUUAUUUCUAUAUUAGGAUAUCCCAGAACAUGGAUACUGAUGUAUUUUUUUUAUAUUUACACAAUCCAAAUAUGUCCACAGAUAUAUGUAAACAGCUGCUAUUUGCAGCUGCAAACUUGAACGAAAAUAUCACUUUAUACUUCUUAAGACUGCAAGCCCUUAAGGUAAGGUGUUCGUUACUAAAUUGAAAAAUACAAAAGAAAAGGAACGCGUUAACACGAUUAAUAUCAUCGACUUCUUAGUCUGCUCAGUGUGCCAUAUAAUUCUUACUACGAAAGAAAACGAAGAAUCAUAAUAACUGUAAGCCUGGUUUCACACACCAGAUAUACGUAUCGUUAUACAUACAUAUGAAUAUACAUGUACACCGAUGGAAACGUUCACACGACGAUUCUCCUGAGAUGCAAUAUCGCGAUACUCAUUUCGUGUAUCUUGACAACGAUACUUUCCGUACGAGGGCGGCAGACAAAACAUCGCUAUACAUGAUAUAUCACGAUACACGUAUCUCUCUGUGAAACCGGCCUAAAAGCAAUUUGAGCAAAUUUGUGGCAACUUUUUGAAGAGUAACGAAAAGUACGAUGAUCUCAUUCGUGAUACCGCGCGAUCAUUGUGUUAUCAAACAAUUAUCAUUUAUUGAUUAUUUCAACGAGAUACAGGUGUACGUAUCACCUAUUGCUCUCUAUAGUCCUUUGACAACAAUUGUCCAUUCUACUCAGGCGCAGUCAGCUGAAAACAACAAGGCUGUAGAAGAGUAGAAACUACUGCUAAUUUCUGUAAGCGGUCCGUGCAGGAAUAAAGUGCAACCUAAAAUUCGAUUUCGAUAUUUGCAUCGUACAAAUCGUAUAGUGAUAAACAAAUUUCAAAGUAAACAAAUACAAAUAGAUUCAAAUAAUAAUCAACUGAAUCGCAGAUUUAACCUAAUUUUCUAUAAAUUGCGGUUCAACUGAAUUUUGUAUCGUGUAAAAAAGACUUAUACACUGUCACUCGACCAUCAAAUCCGCAUACAAUAAACUACUUAAUGAAAAGACAAAAUCUAGAAACGAUAGAUACACACAGAAAAUAUAAGGAAAUUAUAUUAUGGUGAAGUGGAAGGUCGGUAAUUCUAAUAUCGUUUUAAAGGUAGCACUUAAUUUCCGGUGCUUCGAGCCGCUCUAUAAAGAUAUUAGAAUGACAAAGAGCCACCGUGUUACCGGUUCUUCGAGCAAAGCGAUCCCCACGAGCGAAUCGUGCAUCCGCUGUCACCAAGUGGAAAGACAUUAUUAGCGUAAAAAGGAACAGGAUGAUGAAGGAUUCUUGCGCAACGUAAGAUACAGGUGUAUCGAUAUACACACAGAGCCAGCUAAGCAUUCUACGAACGAUCGAAUUGUUGAACGAGAAAAAAAGAAAGCCACCGACCUUUAUACCGCUUCGAGCAGCAUUUGAAACGUUCCACAGUAAAUUAUUAAAUUACAAGUGUCGCCUCGAUUGGCAAAAUUCUGAAGGCUACUUGACGAAAAUAAUAAAUUUGAAAUAAUAAUAAUAAUAAUAAUAAUAAUAGUAAUGGCGAUUGGUGAUGAUGAUGAUGAUGAUGAUGAUGAUGAUGAUGAUGAUGAUAAUAAUAAUAACAACGACGACGACGACAAUAAUAAUACAACAAAAUAAAGGUCAGGAACGAAAAAGUUGUUUUAUUCGCAAAAAACUUCGGAAGAAUUUUCUCGUUCCAACAUUUCGAACGAUCGAGUCAGUUAACACGAUUUACCCACGACUCAUUAUCGAUUACAAUUGAUAUUGUUUCUCGGUCCAGCCACGCGUCCACGCAGCCAAGGUUAUGAUAGUUCCCAAUCUAUUUUACCUCUAAUUUACCAAUUGCAUUUUGCAAACUACACUUUACUUUCGAGCAAGUGGUCGUUUAAAAAAAUAUGAUCGACGUAACAUAUAUAGGAUUAACUAUCGAUUCAACGACAAAAUAUUGAAUAACAUACAGAAAAAUAUUUCAAAAUUCUAAUUAAUAUAAUUGGGAAUAAAACAAGUACCUCGACUUUAGGACGGUAGGUCCAAACAAUCGCCUGCCUUCAGGCAAGGGACCGAUAAGGUCCAACAGCGGUGAGAGCUGUGAUUGGUUGAAACAAUAUGUGGCUAUCGCCCGCCAUUCUGGGACAAAAUUUAUCAAUGUACCUCUUUUGUCAUUUUUAUCUUUUUACCUAGAACUGGUAUUGUACAAUGAGAGGAAAAUAUAGAUGAAGUGAAAUACAUACGUAGAUUAAACCGUUUCGUCUAUGUACAUGUACGUAAUAAGAUAGUAAUAAAAAAACGACAAUAAGAAAUAAUAUACGCGUGCAUGUAUUAGAAUCAGUUACAUAUACGAUACACGUAUUAAGUAUAUUUUCGUUCUAGCGGAAAGAGAAAUAUAUUGAAAGAAAAUAGUUCCCAGAAUGACAGACUAUACCCAAUCUUUCGAACUUUCCACAGAACGUCUUUAUUCGGAACAAGUUGAUAAUGUGACACUCAAUAAAUAACAGAACUUCUACAUGUCCAAUUCUGUCGUCAGAUUGUCCUGCCGAAUCUCACAAUCAAAACGAAAUGAAAGAAACAAUGUCUGGCCGUAGUUGAACAGCCUCGAGAGACGAGAAGCGAUUUUCGAGGCUGGGAGUGUUUCCGCAGCACUGAAUUCUAUCGGCCUGUUAAAAGUAGACACGGUAGAUCACCUCUGAUUCCGAUGAAACGACAGCAGAGCGGAAAGACACGAUUCGGAAAGACAACCCCUGAAAAUGAAGUAUAUUCAUAACGAUGCGUAGUUGUUUUAGGUACGUACACGUGUUGUACGGCGCGGUAUGCUGUUUCAUAAUUUUUCUCGAAGUAAUGAUAGAAGUCGAGAGAAAGAAUAGACAAACAGGGUGCCUACUGAGGUGAUGAACCUUUAGGAAGUGAAAAAAGUGAUUUAGACGAAUUCGUAUUUUCACAGUCAAACCAACUGAAUUACAAUUAACUUUGUACAAUAAUUCAUAAUCUCUAUUAUCGUCAACAUACAGUAAGGAGAAAAUAUCUCCCCCAUGGCUUUAGUUUGCAGCCUCCUCUUGCACCGUCUUCGCCACACUUUCGUAAUACGUUUACGUGCCCGAUUUCCGUUUCUCUGAAAGCAUGAAACGUAUAAAAAGUUCAAGCUGUGGCGAUUAAAAUCUUCGUAAAUAAAGAUCCAAUCACCGCCAACCUACGAUACUAUCUAAUUCCACAAAUAACAUAUUUUUCCUUUUUCUCGUCUCAUAAUUUAUCGCAAGUUAUCGUUAUUAAGAUUGUAAUAUACUAACUUAAAUAUAUCUACAAUGGUUUUGCAUAAAGAUGGUUUCGUUUUCCUAUCAAUAGACACCCUGAAGAAAUAAUAAAAUGAUAAAAGAGAAAAUAAAGAAAUAAUAAUAAUAAUAAUAAUAAUGUGGAAGAGACAAAGAGAGAAAAUAGGAAUUUUUCCGAUUAAUCGAGUCUUAUCCGAUCGUAGAGAGUUUGUUGUUUAGAACGAAACUCAACACUAAUACAUUUGAUUACUAAUAUAUAUACCUGCUGAAUCACUGAAAUCACUGUUUCUAUACACAUAUGUAUAAAUAACAAUGUCGAAACAACUAUAAAUACUCGACGAUCGGAACAUCGGUAAUUUGGCCUAGGGUAAAGUAAAAAAAAAACCAGUAUGAGUCGAGUGUAGAGGGAGCUGAUAUCGGUUUCCCUGAGCACCCUCUGUACUUACCACUCACUCAUGUGUUGCCAACACGUUCCUUGCAAAGGAAGAGGGCUUCACAGAUCGAAUCGAUCACUUCUACUUCUUGUCGGGACCAACAAAUUACAAUCAUAAUUUAAACAUUAUCAUAAUUUAAAUUGCACAAACUUCGAGAGAUAAUCAUCCCGUAAUAUUACUUGCUAACUACAAGUUACGUCAUGAACAUGUUAACCAGUCACUUAUAAUUCUAUUCUGAAUGAAACCAAAACGACAGAAGCAAAUAUUUUACAUCUGAAUAACGAUCAACUUUUUAUCAUUUCGUUUUCUUCUCAACAUGCAAACGUCACAAUGUAAUAAUAUCUCAUUACGGUUUCUUCGAUCAUAUCUCGUAAUUCAAUUCAUAUAAUCAAUUUCGGAUUGCUAUAACGGAACAAUUUAAAAGUAAUGUCAUUAAAUCGUCGAACUUUAU